rnacentral:rRNA from 1 species
UACAGAGGUCCCGAGCGUUGUUCGGAUUCACUGGGCGUAAAGGGUGCGUAGGUGGUGAGGUAAGUCGGAUGUGAAAUCUCCGGGCUCAACCCGGAAAUGGCAUUGGAAACUACCUUGCUAGAGGAUUGAGGGGGGAUUGGAAUACUUGGUGUAGCAGUGAAAUGCGUAGAUAUCAAGUGGAACACCAGUGGCGAAGGCGAAUCCCUGGAAAAUACCUGACACUGAGGCACGAAAGCUAGGGGAGCAAACAGG